UACAAACCAAAACCCUAGAACCACUCAAAGCUCAAUCCAUGGCGAUGAAACAACAAUUACUGACGCUUCUCUCCAAUUCUCACCUGCUCCGAACAGCAAAAGGAGCUGUCAAUGUCCAAAAUUGGUUCAAAUAUGUCAUAUGUGGCAUAUUUUCAAUCAUAAAAAAAUUAACCAGUAUCUUGGAACAUCGUUUUUUUGUAUGGACAUCAAGGGGGACACAUAUGAAGGAAAGCUUGAUAAUACACUUCCAGAAGAAACAACUCAGAUCCUGCAAGAAAACGAGAUAUAUCAACUUCAAUAUUUUUCCCUCCUGGAAAACACUCAACGAUACAAGCUCACUACUCAGCAAUACAUUAUUCAAAUCACAAAAUCGACUACGGUUAUACAAAUAGAGGAAAAAAUCCCGAUGAUGCCUCUUACCACAUUCCAUCCCCUCUGAUACAAACAGUUGAUCGACAUAGCCACUGGUACCAACUACUUACCAGAUGUGGUUGGACAAAUAAGAAUGUUUCAAGGUAACGAUCUCAAAAAUCCGAGGGCAACAACGGAGGUCAGAAUUGGUCUACUGAAAGUAAUAAUUAUUUAACCUAAAACAUGCAUCACUAAUA